rnacentral:rRNA from 1 species
AAAGGGAUUGACACUGCAAUCGAACAGGUCUUUGGGUAUGCAGAACAUAGAGAAUGCAUGCGAUAUUUGGUUGUGAACUUCAAGAAGAAGUUUCAUGGUAAAGUUUUUGAUGAUCAUUUGUGGUCGGCUGCUUAUUCAUGGACUCCUCGAGGGUUUGACUAUCACAUGGCAGCCAUAGAGGAGAAAAAGGCUGCUGCAAUAGCAUAUUUAAACAAGUACCACAGCAGGCUAUGGUCAAGGAGCAAAUAUUCAACCUCCUCGAAAGUGGAUUAUGUGACAAAUAAUUUGGCCGAGUGUUUCAACAACUGGAUCCGCAAGCACAAAGGUCUCAUGUUGUUUCAGCUCAUGGACAAGAUCAGGAGAAAGAUUACUGUCAAGUUUGAGAAGAGGAGAAGGGUAGCUAGAAAAUUUCAAGGUAGGCGUAUGCUUCCAAGUGUCAUGAAGGAGUUGAAUGACAUAAGCAGGGGGCUGGACAUUGAAUAUGAGAGAAUAGAUGACAUGAUUGCAGAGGUGAGUGAGAGUGUUGCACUAGGUGGCAAGCGCCACGUCACUGAUCUAGCAAAUAGGACAUGCACAUGCAGGGCAUUUCAAGUCUCUGGGAAGCCUUGCAAACAUGCAAUUAGCUUUAUUACUGGAAUUAGAGGGGUCACAAUAGAAGACUUCGUUGAUGAUUGUUACAGCGUUGCCAAGUUCGCUGCAGCUUAUGCUCCUAUUCUUCCUGGCCUAACUGACAUGUCUCAAUGGCCUAGUGUGAACAAAGAAUUCUUCUUGAAUCCCCCAAUCCUUAGGAGCGCCCCUGGGAGGCCAAAGGUGCAGAGGCACAAAAGUGAUGCUAAGAAUAGCAAGGGGAAGGGAAAGAAAGGCCAGCACCAGUGUCCAAUUUGCAAAGCUUAUGGACAUAGACGCAAAGCUGCAAAGAUGCUGCUCCUGAAGCACUAG